rnacentral:rRNA from 1 species
UAGGUGGCAAGCGUUGUCCGGAUUUACUGGGCGUAAAGAGUAUGUAGGCGGACAUUUAAGUCAGAUGUGAAAUCCCCGGGCUUAACCUGGGAGCUGCAUUUGAUACUGGGUGUCUAGAGUGUAGGAGAGGAAAGUGGAAUUCCUAGUGUAGCGGUGAAAUGCGUAGAGAUUAGGAAGAACACCAGUGGCGAAGGCGACUUUCUGGACUAUAACUGACGCUGAGAUACGAAAGCGUGGGGAGCAAACAGGA